UGGGGAAUAUUGGACAAUGGGGGCAACCCUGAUCCAGCGAUGCCGCGUGUGCGAAGAAGGCCUGCGGGUUGUAAAGCACUUUGGUUGGGGAAGAAGGUUGGGCGUUGAAUAGAUGCCUGAAUUGACGUUACCCAAAGAACAAGCACCGGCUAACUCUGUGCCAGCAGCCGCGGUAAUACGUAGGGUGCAAGCGUUAAUCGGAAUUACUGGGCGUAAAGCGUGCGCAGGCGGUUAUGUAAGACAGGUGUGAAAUCCCCGGGCUUAACCUGGGAACUGCAUUUGUGACUGCAUAGCUAGAGUACGGUAGAGGGGGAUGGAAUUCCGCGUGUAGCAGUGAAAUGCGUAGAUAUACGGAGGAACACCGAUGGCGAAGGCAAUCCCCUGGACCUGUACUGACGCUCAUGCACGAAAGCGUGGGGAGCAAACAGGAUUAGAUACCCAUGUAGUCCCUGAGCGGGCUGGCAAGGCGCAU
rnacentral:rRNA from 1 species